CACUACUAGAAAUAUAUGGUAGUAUCGGGAUGUAACAAAUUUUUAUUUUUUUUCCAAGUAGGAGGAUUUCAUCAAUGAAAAAAGGCACAGUAAAAUGGUUUAACGCAGAAAAAGGUUUCGGUUUUAUUUCCGUUCCCGGCGAAGAUGAUGUAUUCGUACAUUUCUCCGCAAUCCAGGCUGAUGGUUACAAAACUCUGGAAGAAGGCCAGGAAGUAGAAUUCGAAGUAGUACAGGGUGCAAAAGGCCCUCAGGCUGCAAACGUAGUAAAGGCUUAAUCAAUCUUAUUUAUAGUCCGUUGAUGCAGUUUUGCAUUGAGAAAUAU
rnacentral:other from 1 species